rnacentral:tRNA from 1 species
GCCAGAGUGGCGGAAUUGGCAUACGCGCAUGGUUUAGGACCAUGUGUCCGUAAGGACUUGAGAGUUCAAAUCUCUCCUCUGGCA